AACGCGAAGAACCUUACCAAGGCUUGACAUCCCCUUGACAGAUGCAGAGAUGUGUCCUCUCCUUCGGGAGCAAGGGAGACAGGUGGUGCAUGGUUGUCGUCAGCUCGUGUCGUGAGAUGUUGGGUUAAGUCCCGCAACGAGCGCAACCCUUGUCAUUAGUUGCCAGCAGAAGAUGGGCACUCUAAUGAGACUGCCGGUGAUAAACCGGAGGAAGGUGGGGAUGACGUCAAAUCAUCAUGCCCCUUAUGUCUUGGGCUACACACGUGCUACAAUGGUCGGAACAAAGGGAAGCGAAGGAGCGAUCCGGAGCAAAACCUCAUAAACCGAUCCCAGUUCGGAAUUGCAGGCUGCAACUCGCCUGCAUGAAGUCGGGAGUUGCUAGUAAUCGCGAAUCAAAACGUCGCGGUGAAUGCGUUCCCGGGGUCUUGUACACACCG
rnacentral:rRNA from 1 species